rnacentral:rRNA from 1 species
AUUGAACGCUGGCGGCAGGCCUAACACAUGCAAGUCGAACGAGUGGCGGACGGGUGAGUAAUGUCAGGGAAACGGCCCGAUGGAGGGGGAUAACUACUGGAAACGGUAGCUAAUACCGACUAACAUCGGCAGUGCCCAGAUGGGAUUAGCUAGUAGGUGGGGUAACGGCUCACCUAGGCGACGAUCCCUAGCUGGUCUGAGAGGAUGACCAGCCACACUGGAACUGAGACACGGUCCAGACUCCUACGGGAGGCAGCAGUGGGGAAUAUUGCACAAUGGGCGCAAGCCUGAUGCAGCCAUGCCGCGUGUAUGAAGAAGGCCUUCGGGUUGUAAAGUACUUUCAGCGAGGAGGCGUUACUCGCAGAAGAAGCACCGGCUAACUCCGUGCCAGCAGCCGCGGUAAUUC